CCUACGGGUGGCUGCAGUGGGGAAUUUUGGACAAUGGGCGCAAGCCUGAUCCAGCCAUGCCGCGUGCGGGAAGAAGGCCUUCGGGUUGUAAACCGCUUUUGUCAGGGAAGAAACGGUUCGGGCUAAUACCUCUAACUAAUGACGGUACCUGAAGAAUAAGCACCGGCUAACUACGUGCCAGCAGCCGCGGUAAUACGUAGGGUGCAAGCGGGAAUCGGAAUUACUGGGCGUGAUGCGUGCGCACACGGGUGAAAUCCCCGGGCUCAACCUGGGAACUGCAGUUGUGACUGCAUGACUUGAGUACGGUAGAGGGGGAUGGAAUUCCGCGUGUAGCAGUGAAAUGCGUAGAUAUGCGGAGGAACACCGAUGGCGAAGGCAAUCCCCUGGACCUGUACUGACGCUCAUGCACGAAAGCGUGGGGAGCAAACAGGAUUGGAUACCCUAGUAGUC
rnacentral:rRNA from 1 species